GUGGGGAAUUUUGGACAAUGGGGGAAACCCUGAUCCAGCGACGCCGCGUGAAGGAUGAAGGCCUUCGGGUUGUAAACUUCUUUUGGAGGGGACGAAUAAAUUGACGGUACCCUCAGAAAAAGCCACGGCUAACUACGUGCCAGCAGCCGCGGUAAUACGUAGGUGGCGAGCGUUACUCGGUAUUACUAGGCGUAAAGCGUAUGUAGGCGGUUGUAUAAGUCUAUGGUGAAAUUUCCUGGCUAAACUGGGAAGGGACAUAGAUACUGUAUGGCUUGAGUGUUGGAGGAGGAGACGGAAUUCCUGGUGUAGCGGUGAAAUGCGUAGAUAUCAGGAGGAACACCGAUGGCGAAAGCAGUCUCCUGGCCAAAUACUGACGCUGAGGUACGAAAGCGAGGGUAGCAAACAGGAUUAGACACCCCGGUAGUCA
rnacentral:rRNA from 1 species